rnacentral:tRNA from 1 species
GCGCCGGUAGUUUAAUGGUAGAACUCUGGUCUUCCAAACCCGUAGCGAGGGUUCGAUUCCCUCUCGGCGCACCA